CUACGGGCCGCUGCAGUGAGGAAUGUUGCACAAUGGGGGGAACCCUGAUGCAGCAACGCCGCGUGGAGGAUGACGCAUUUCGGUGUGUAAACUCCUUUUAUAUGUCAAGAAAAUGACGGUAGCAUACGAAUAAGCACCAGCUAACUCCGUGCCAGCAGCCGCGGUAAUACGGAGGGUGCAAGCGUUACUCGGAAUCACUGGGCGUAAAGGACGCGUAGGCGGAUUGGAAAGUCAGGUGUGAAAUCCUACAGCUUAACUGUAGAACUGCACUUGAAACUUCUAAUCUAGAGUAUGGGAGGGGGAGAUGGAAUUAGUGGUGUAGGGGUAAAAUCCGUAGAUAUCACUAGGAAUACCUAAAGCGAAGGCGAUCUCCUGGAACAUUACUGACGCUAAGGCGUGAAAGCGUGGGGAGCAAACAGGAUUAGAUACCCCUGUAGUC
rnacentral:rRNA from 1 species